CCAGGUGUCAGGUUUGGUGGCCUGAGAAAGUGAAAGGAGAGUGCAAUCCCUCCCACCUGCCCUGAGCCCCGGACUGCUGCAAGGUACAAAGCGCCAGGGUCUUACUCUGUCACCCAGGCUGAAGUGCAGUGGCACCAUCAUGGCUCACUGUAGCCUCGACCUCCUGGUUUCAAGCAAUCCUCCUGCCUCAGCCUCCUGAGAAUCUGGGACCACAGCUGGCCUGGGAGUUGUUAGUUGAGAGAACAUCUAACAUCUAACAACUAAAGGAGGAUACAGAUCUUAAAGACGGGGUCUCCUAUGUUGCCAAGGCUGGAGUGCAGUGGCUAUUCACAGGCACGAUCCCACUACUGAUCAGCACUGGAGUUUUGACCUGCUCCGUUUCUGACCUAGGCUGGUUCACCCCUCCUUAGGCAAACUGGUGGUCCCCUGCUCCCAGGAGGUCACCAUAUUUUUUUUUUGAGAAGGAGUUUCACUCUUGUUACCCAGGCUGGAGUGCAAUGGUGUGAUCUCGGCUCACCGCAACAUCUGCCUCCUGGGUUCAGGCAAUUCUCCUGCCUCAGCCUCCUGAGUAGCUGAGACUACAGGCACGCGCCACCAUGCCCAGCUAAUUUUUUGUAUUUUUAGUUGAGACGGGGUUUCACCAUGUUGACCAGGAUGGUCUCGAUCUGUUGACCUCGUGAUCCACCCGCCUCGGCCUCCCAAAGUGCUAGAUUACAGGCUUGAGCCACCACGCCCGGCAGGAGGUCACCAUAUUGAUGCCAAACGUAGUGCAGACAUCCGAUCGGCAUAGCGCACUACAGCCCAGAACUCCUGGGCUCAAGCGAUCCUCCCACCUCAGCCUCCCCAGUAGCUGGA